GGCAAUGUGGCGGAGUGGUUAUCGCGAUAGACUAGAAUCACCCAAGGUCGCGCUAUUCACCCAUCCAUAACUGGAGACGGUCUGCGUGGCUCAGUAAGACUAUCUAUUUCCUUCGGGAGCACAGGUUCGAGUCCUGUCAUUGUCG